rnacentral:rRNA from 1 species
GUUGAAAAGAACUUUGAAGAGAGAGUUCAAGAGUACGUGAAACCGAUCAGGGGUAAACGGAGAAGAUCUGAAUUUUCGAAAGGGGAGAUUCACGUCUUACCAUAUUGUUUAACUUAUAAAUGUAUUAAGAGAUGUUUAUUCGCCCUAUUUAGUGCAAACUGUAAUAGAGGGUUUAUUCGCUCGCAUUUAUUUUUAGUAAAAACAAUGGUGGACCGCACUUCUCCCUUAGUAGGACGUUGCGAUCUGUCAGUUAAUACUCGAAGUAUGAUUAAAAUGUCUGUAUUUAUGUAAUUUUUUUUUUUUUAAAUUAUAUUUUUUACAGCUUUAAUCAAUUUUAAUACUGAGUAUUUUAAUAUUGAUAGUAACAAAUGAUAGUGUUGAGCCCCUUUAAAAAAAAGUGUCUAGCCGUUUACAAGUAUGUUUUUAGGCUUAUUUAGCUAAUUUCGGGUUUUAUGAUCCGUAUAGCAAGGCCACAUACUGUUGGUAGAUGUGCUCCUUAGA